UACGAAGGGGGCUAGCGUUGCUCGGAAUCACUGGGCGUAAAGGGUGCGUAGGCGGGUCUUUAAGUCAGGGGUGAAAUCCUGGAGCUCAACUCCAGAACUGCCUUUGAUACUGAGGAUCUUGAGUUCGGGAGAGGUGAGUGGAACUGCGAGUGUAGAGGUGAAAUUCGUAGAUAUUCGGAAGAACACCAGUGGCGAAGGCGGCUCACUGGCCCGAUACUGACGCUGAGGCACGAAAGCGUGGGGAGCAAACAGG
rnacentral:rRNA from 1 species